GUGCUCACUUCAGAACCACAUACACUAAAAUUGCAACGAUACAGAGAAGAUUAGCAUGGCUAAUGCAAGGAUGACACGCAAAUUCAUGAAGCCUUCAAUAUUUUU
ensembl:snRNA U6 U6 spliceosomal RNA